ACCCUCGGCCCUGGGCUCGGAGCCGCCCCCGAAGUGGGCGCGCGUUCUCCGCCGGGCUGGGGCCGCGAAUGGAGCCAGUAAAAUGACGAGCGGUGCCCGAACGCACUCACUCUGAGAACCGAUUAGUGUGAUUCAAAUUUAUGGGCGCCGUGGGUGUUUUUUUCUGGGCAGCGGCCCCGGAGCAGAAGAGUCGGGAGUUAGAACAGCGUCUUAACAGGGAACUGACCUAGUUUCAUGUAUCGAGAGGGCUCCCCUGAGACACUGUUUAUUUAGCGAGUCCUUGUCCGGUGCGUCCUGCUCUGCUAGUUGUAACUCUUUGAAGCGUCAGAACAACCGUUGUUGCCCCCAUUCCUCCAGCUGGGGAAGAGGGAGCACGGAGCUCAGUGGCAGCUCUGGGACGGAGGGACAGCUUCGGACGCUUGGAGGGCCUGGCUCCCUGACCCCAGGUCCCCGCCCAAAUGCCACCUCAUCCACCUGUGUUUUCAACAGCCAGCUGUGCUCUGGGGCUCAGCAGAGGGCAGGGCAGAGUCCCUACCCCGUAAUGGGAUGGGCAGUGGCGGCGGGGAGCCGCAGAGCUACAGAGAAGACCAUUUCAGGCAGUAAGAACCAAAGAGACUACAGCAGGGUAGUGAGACCGUGACGAAAGUGAUGGUUCCACUUCAGUUGGGGGGAUGAGUCAGGGAAGGCCUCUGAGAAGGUGACAGCCGUGCAGAAAUGUGCAAACGUCUUGAGGCCAGAGUUUGGUGUCUGGGGAGCAGGAAAGGCCUCGUUGGCUGGGGUGUGUGAGCAGAAAGAGGUCUGAGUGUCAGAGAGGGGCCACAAUUGGAAUAUGGAGUUUGUUCUGUGCGGCACUAAUGAGUCUGAAUUGGGAGUGACCUGACCUGAGUUACAUUUUAGAACGUUCUCUCCCGCUACUGUGUAGGGACUGGGCCAUAGGAAGGACUAGACAGGGAGCCAGGAGACUAGCUAGGUGGCUCUGACAGUGGUUUGGGUGAUGUAGAUUACAAACCAGUUGCGUGAGUUGGCUCAGACAGUCAUAAUGAAAUACCACAGACCUGGAGGCUGAAACAAGAAAUUCGUUUUCUCACGAUUCUGGAGGCUGGAAGUCCAAGGUCAAGGUGUUGGUAGGGUUGGUAUCUGGUGAGAAUACUCUCUUUGGCCAGUAGAUGGUCACCUUCUUGCUCUCCUCACAUGUCUUCUUCUCUGGGCACAAGCAUUUCUCUUUUUAUAAGGACACCCGUCAUAUUGGAUUAGCCCCCCCCCACGACUUCAUUUAACCUUAAUUACCUCCACAAAAGCUCUAUCUCCAGAUAAAAUCAUGUUAGGGCUUCAACAUGUAAAUUUGGAGGGGAUACCAUUCAGUCCAUAACACCAGGUAAGCCCUGUGACAAAAACAUUCCAGGAGAGCUGGCAGGGUGGCUUUAGGGAAGGCCCCCCUGAGGAAGGGUUUUGCACAUCACUCAGGUCUCAGCUCAGACGUCUCCUGGAGAGGCUGUCCCUGAUGGCCACGUAAGAUUGCUCGUUAACCCAGCCCCCUGCUCCCUCUUUACAGCACUCUUCACUGUCUAAAAUGACCAUGUUUAAUUAUUGGGGUACUUAUUUGUGGUCUGCCUCCACCCCACUAGGACAGCAGAGAACCUUCCUGUUUUGUUCUCCAUUCACAGCCCCUGGAAUAGUGCCUCGCACUCCAUAAACACUUCUCGAAUGGAUGUCCCUGGGAAAUUUGGAGCUAAGAGCUGUAGGAUGAACAAGAGCUUCUAGGGGUCGCCUGCCUUCCUUGGCUGGUGGACGCUUCCAUCAUCUUCAAAGCCAGCAAUGGUCGGUUAAUCAAGCCUUUCUACCAUGCAUCACUCCAAUUCUGCCUCUGACAUCACGUCUCCUCUGACUGUCCUGCCUUCUUGUAAUUACAUUGAGCCCAUCCAGAUAAUCCAGGAUGAUCUCCACAUGUAUAUAUGGAAGAGUUCUUAUGGCCAGAACAUUUGUAUUUUAAAGAAGAGAAGAACAAGGCCUGUUCUUUUUAGAUAGGUUUUGUUUUUCCUAAGGUAUGUUGUAUUUGUGACUUCAGUCUUCUUACUCACCUUGGAUUCUCCACUCCCCUCCAUGCUGUCCUGUCAUUUCUCAAGUGAAUAAGGAGGCAGUAUAUGAGUCUAUUUUUAGUUACCUUGGUUUUCCCUUCAGCUGGGCACCAAACUGGGUAUCUUAGUGAAAGAACCCAUCUCCUAGCACUCAUCUGGAAAUCUGGGAGGGAGUUUUGGGCCAUGGGGAUCUCUGGACAGUGGCUCCUGCACCCAGGCAGUGACAGCAGUGGUAGUUCUGUUUCAUGUGUAAAGUCCUCCAAGAUUCUCAGCUGAAGCUGGCACAUGCCCAUGACAAAAGUGGUUUUUGUUUUAUAUAUUCACAUCCUAAGUCCCCUCAAAAAAAAAAA